CGGGGGGGGCAAGCGUUGUUCGGAAUUACUGGGCGUAAAGGGCUCGUAGGCGGCCAUCUAAGUCAGACGUGAAAUCCCUCGGCUUAACCGGGGAACUGCGUCUGAUACUGGACGGCUUGAGUUUGGGAGAGGGAUGCGGAAUUCCAGGUGUAGCGGUGAAAUGCGUAGAUAUCUGGAGGAACACCGGUGGCGAAGGCGGCAUCCUGGACCAACACUGACGCUGAGGAGCGAAAGCCAGGGGAGCAAACGGGAUUAGAUACCCCGGUAGUCCUGGCCCCAAACGAUGAAUGCUUGGUGUGGCGGGUAUCGAUCCCUGCCGUGCCGAAGCUAACGCAUUAAGCAUUCCGCCUGGGGAGUACGGUCGCAAGGCUG
rnacentral:rRNA from 1 species